AAACUAACAAGGAUUCCCCUAGUAGCGGCGAGCGAAGCGGGAAAAGCUCAAAUUUGUAAUCUGGCGCCUUCGGCGUCCGAGUUGUAAUCUCGAGAAAUGUUUUCCGUGUUAGACCGCAUACAAGUCUCUUGGAACAGAGCGUCAUAGUGGUGAGAACCCAGUACACGAUGCGGAUGCCUAAUACUUUGUGAUACAUUUUCGAAGAGUCGAGUUGUUUGGGAAUGCAGCUCAAAUUGGGUGGUAAAUUCCAUCUAAAGCUAAAUAUUGGCGAGAGACCGAUAGCGAACAAGUACCGUGAGGGAAAGAUGAAAAGCACUUUGGAAAGAGAGUUAACAGUACGUGAAAUUGUUGGAAGGGAAACACAUGCAGUCAGACUUGCUAUUCGGGGCAACUCGAUUGGCAGGCCCGCAUCAGUUUUUCGGGGCGGAAAAGCAUAGAGAGAAGGUAGCAGUUUCGGCUGUGUUAUAGCUCUUUAUUGGAUUCGCCCUGGGGGACUGAGGAACGCAGCGUGCUUUUAGCAUGAGCUUCGGCUUAUCCACGCUUAGGAUGCGGGUGUAAUGGCUGUAUAUGACCCGUCU
rnacentral:rRNA from 1 species